AUUGAACGCUGGCGGCACGCCUAACACAUGCAAGUCGAGCGGUAGCAGGACCUGUAGCAAUACAGGUUGCUGACGAGCGGCGGACGGGUGAGGAAUACGUAGGAACCUGCCUUAUAGUGGGGGAUAACUAAGGGAAACUUUAGCUAAUACCGCAUAAUCUCGAGAGAGGAAAGCUGCCGCAAGGUGGCGCUAAAAGAGGGGCCCGCGUCCGAUUAGCUAGUUGGUGAGGUAAGAGCUCACCAAGGCGAUGAUCGGUAACUGGGCUGAGAGGACGACCAGUCACACUGGGACUGAGACACGGCCCAGACUCCUACGGGAGGCAGCAGUGGGGAAUAUUGGACAAUGGGGGCAACCCUGAUCCAGCGAUGCCGCGUGAGUGAAGAAGGCCUUCGGGUCGUAAAGCUCUUUAGGUUGGGAAGAAGGGUGUUAGAGGAAAUGCUAAUACUUUGACGGUACCGACAGAAUAAGCACCGGCAAACUCUGUGCCAGCAGCCGCAGUAA
rnacentral:rRNA from 1 species